rfam:Chlorocebus sabaeus isolate 1994-021 chromosome 20, whole genome shotgun sequence.
AUAUCUCUACAAUUCAACGACAAAAAGACAAACAACCAAAUUAAAAAAUAACACAGAAGGGUAAGGUAAGUCUCCAUUAAACACAGGAAAGAGACUGGAAAACUCCUCUUUGGAUCCUGUCUAUAGUCGCAGGU